AACAUAAAUGCGGUAAAUUGUGUUAACAGUUAAAACCAAGUAGAAUUAUAAUAUAAUUUCGUAAAUUGUUAAAUUUAAACUCGAUUCUACUAAGGAAAUGCCCAUGAACAAACAUGAAAAACAGGAAAUAAAAUUGGUUCAAAUUAAAAUCGGGCUUUUUGUUAUAAAUUGUUUAUAACUUAACCUCGCAUUUUCUAAGCUUUUAAAUAACUCUGCUUACAGAUUGCUAAAUUCUGUAAAAGUUUCAGUAAGAUUAUAGUAAUUUUAAGAUAUUAUUAUUGUAUGUAAGAUAUUAUUAUGUAUAUGUAUGAAAUAGUUUCAGUUCCCUUACAUGGCAUGUCGAGACAUAUUCUAACAUUGCAUUAGUAGAUGGUUUAUAUUAUUACGUGUCCCCAAGACUAUUGGAGGACCAUAAUUUGUUUUGAUUCUGGAAACAAUAUUGCGGGUUGUUCAUGCUUCCGGGCAUUUUUUUGCUCUGAAAGGAGUGGAAAUUGUAGUUGUUUGGCAAAAUUGGCAUUAUUGGCUCAAGGACGGAUGUAUGGAUGUCCGAAAGAUGGGGUAUUUUAUGAUUUGUAUUUAUGUGAAAUUGAAAUAAUGUAUUAUAAGAAAUUUAAGCAUUGGUUUGCCUAAGCCUAAAUGUUUAUCCAGUAGUUUGUCGUUUCUUUUCUUUUGUUUCUUUAAAAUUAUACAAGACUUUAAUUUGAACUGUGACUAAGACUUUCCUGAACAAAGGUUUGUAGCGAUCCUACCUACUGGACUUCAGGCUCUGACUUUCUGCCCCUGGACGGUUAUUUUAUCAAUCCUUGUUGGUGUCACUGGUCAGCUAGAUCGUCGCGGCAGGGGCGUGCCGAGGUUGACGCGGUGGAUAAACUAACUAUGUUAGGUCAGACUUAAGACUAUAUUGUAAUAAAAUUAAGUGUUAUAAGACUGGUUGCAGCCAGGGGAACUCACUAUAUUUCUAUAUAGGAUUUUGGCAAAUGAAAUAUAUUUCUUGUUUAUCUUGAAAUUCAGAAACGACAAGCUGCUGGAAUUAUGUGAGAAAUUGGACCGAUGAUGGUCAUUACUGUAGUUGAUGAGACCGAUGAUGGUCAUUAUACUGUUGUUGAUGAGACCGAUGAUGGUCAUUAUACUGUUGUUGAUGAUGGGACCGAUACUGUUGAUGGUUAAAUUGUAAUGAUUUUAAAAUAAUAUAAUAAUUAAGUUAAGAAUUGAACUGUUUAUUGAGACUGUAAUUAUUUAAUGUAAGACUGUAAUUAUUUAAUAUUAACUAUUAAAUGGGUGAAUGUCAACAUUAGAAAAAUAAUUUGAUUGAUAAAUAGGUACUUCGAGAGCGAAGUACAUGUCAGUAUGGCCGUGUUAGAUUAAUUAUAUUAUGUACAUACCUGAUUGAUAUUAAUAUUUCAAUGUGACCUAUAAAUAAUAUUAGUAACUACACUAUAAGUUAACUUUCUAUAACAUCACACACACCAAGUAUCAAACAGCCGCCAUAUUAACUGCCAGAUAAAAUUAAGACUUCCGUUUGCAAAUAAGAAUUUAUUGUAAGAUUUCCGGCUUCUGAAUAGUGGUUAUUAAUGUUUCUUAAAUAUAAUUGAAUUAAUAAAUUAAUAAACCAACUGGCUAAUAUUCAAUCAAAAAUAAAUAUUGUAAAAUGAGAAGU